GUUAUGGUCGAGUUGUGUUGUUUUCCCCUUUCUUCCCCGCUUCUUUAAUCCUCCCCUAGUCGCGAUCAACCGUGUUUUCUAUCCUUAGAAAAUGCGGGCGUGACAGAUAUAGAUUACAUAUUAGUGUCUAGAUACACUGAGUAAGAAAUAAAUAAUUUUUUCCUAAGUUUGUACUUGUAAAUUUAUUAAUUUCCUAAAUGAUCAUGUAAGGGUAAAUAUGUAAUGUAUUAAUUUCAUGAAUCAUUAUAAAUUUAUUACAAUUUAAAAUACCUAAAAUAUCCUAUUUUGUAUAUACUGUUUUUGUUAAUUUAUCACUACCCAUAAAACUCAGACAAAUACGGAUCAUCUACUUCAACAAUUUUGUUUUCAAAAAUUAAAUAAACUAUAUAUAUUUUUAAAUGCAGCAACAGUAAAAAACAAAUUAAACUAAACAAUCGUAGUUAUUCAGAUUUGAGAUUACUGCUAAUUUCCUUUUUUCAGUUAAUAAAAAAAUCAAGAAAUAAAACGUCAAUUCGUAUCUAUGAAAUCACCAAAUUGCGUUGAAGUGUGACGAGUUCUGACAUUUAAUCAUACUGUAAUCAUUGCUCCUGCUUGUUUCCACUCUCACUGUGUGCCUUUGUGGAUAUGGUGUUUGAUGCUGAUUUUGAAGGUGGAUUGCGCCUCAAUUCCGGCUCGGCGGCGGACGACGGUGGUAUUACAUCGGCGCUUUUGCGAGACGAGGUAAUGGUGGUCCGCUUUGAGCCGCUCUGGCUCUUCUAAGGAUUCUGUGAUUGUUGAGAUUUCCGAUACUGCCCAUCAAAUUAGCCAAGGUUUCUCGAUUUUAGCUCCUUACACUGUUAUAUUAUCUCCUACUUCAUGAAUUUGAUGUGUGCAAUUGUUGUAUUAUCUUCUACUUCUUGAAUUUGAUGUGUGCAUAGUGUUAAUUCGUAUUCAAAUCUGUGGAAUUAUUCUAUUUAUUGUUUAUGAAAUUGAUAUGUUAUCCGUUUUUUUCAAGCUGUUUAUGCCUUUUGUGAAUUGGAUUGAGUGAUUGAUUUCGUUGUGUAGUACUUUGAUUUUUAGUCUAUGCUUUGAUCAUAAGAAAUGUUAUUCUGUUAGCAAUUUGGCUGAAGAGCUUUUCAUUUCCGAAUUUCGCUUUUCGAGUUCUAGUUUGGUUUAUGCAUCUGAGGGCAGUUUGAUUGGGGGAUUCCAUAUGAUCAUCAUCUUACAGAGUGAUACUUUCAUAUGUUUGAAUCCAAAUUUGAACUUAAGUUGCUUCAGUAGUGAAAAAGUCCGGUGACAUAUUCAUUCCCGGCUUGUUUUUCAUGUUGCGCGCGUAGACAGGGACUGCGUGUUGGGAUAUUCUGUCACAAUCAUGGUUCAGUUGGGUUAGAUUGAUGGUGUGGUCGGACUAAUCUCAAGUUGUUUAUACUUUUAUGAAACGGGAUUCAUGGUUACAGGUUGUGCUUACAACGGGGAUAAACAGUGCCUACCGUGCUGGGAUAUUCUGGCACGAUUAUGGUUCCGUUGGGUUGGAUUGGUGGUGUGGUAGGACUAAUUUUAGCGACAGCGAUAUCUUCGUAUGCGAAUAUGUUGGUAGCCAAGCUUCACGAAUAUGGAGGAAAGAGGCAUAUUAGAUAUAGAGACCUUGCAGGAUUCAUCUACGGUGACGAAGCCUAUACUAUUACGUGGGCGCAGCAGUAUGUUAAUCUCUUCAUGAUCAAUGUCGGAUACAUCUCUUAAAGAUGGUUAUCGAGAGAGAUAUAGAUAAGUUGGUAAGGCAUAUAGAGAAUAGGAAGUAGAAAGAGAAUAUUUCUUGUAUGUUUUUCUUAUAUCUUCAAAAGUUCAUUCACCCUAGUAUUUAUAGGGUGAAAUAGAAGGAUCUAGUACACCAAUAAAUGUAAUUGGAACUUUACACAA